rnacentral:rRNA from 1 species
AGAUGCGAUCAUACAAGCACUAAUGCCUCAGAUCCCAUCAGAACUACGCAGUUAAGGGUGCUUGGGCGAGAGUAGUACUAGAAUGGGUGACCUCGUGUUGCAUCCC